rnacentral:lncRNA from 12 species
CCACAUCACAGCUGGCUUUAUCAGGCCCCUCCUGGAGUCCAUCAGGCAUCUGAGUCCCUCAUUUCUCAGCUCGGCUUGUCUCACCCGUCCAAAAAAAGUCUUAGAAAUAGAAGCUGGUCAAAGUUAUGGAAAGACCGCUCCAGCGCAGAAGAGAGAUGAUGCUGUGAUCCUUUCCCUGAUGCAGAGGACGCUGAUCUGCACCGAGGGGAGAGGAGACUGUUUCAUGUCAUGACAUCGGCGAAUAGCCAGUUUGGAAAUGCAAGACGGUGCCCAGCAGCCCGAUGGAACUCCUCCGUGAACUCCGAUAACUCAAUUGAUUAGCCCACCAUACAGUCGUACCAUUUUCAGGGUGGAGAAGCAAUAGAAUGAUCCCGACAUGGCAAAACUGAGUGGGAUACAGCAUCAUUAAGUGAACUAAUUUCAAGGCUAGAAGUAAAACUCAGUUUUCCACAUCUCUAAAUUCGGCAAUUCCCUACCCAAACCACAGGACAACAUCUACAUAUUAAUACAAGUAAACAUAUACCAAGACCCCAAAAAUGAACCUGGAAAAGGCAUUUUUCCUGCCUGGCAACCACAGGGGGAAAUAAAAAACCUGAACAUGUUAUUU